rnacentral:tRNA from 1 species
GGGCCGGUGGUCUAGCGGUAUGACGCUACCCUCACACGGUAGAGGCCGAGGGUUCGAAUCCCUCCCGGCCCA